AAAAAUCCAAUGAAUAGGUUAUUUGAACAGAUUCACACAAAAAAAAUAAGCAGAUUAAAAAUAAACAAAUCAGAUUUUUAGGCCUGCUUUUCUAUUUGCAAUACACAUUAACAAUGCAUGAGUAAUGUAAAGUGUGCCAGAGUUCCUGCCAAAUAGACAAGUUGAUAUUUAAAGAAUAGUAAUAAUAAAAAAAAAAUAGUACUUACAAGAAUUUGUAACACUAAAAUCCCUAUACAUGUUUUAGGGAAACCAUAAUGCCUUUUAAUAUGUUUUCCAGUCAUCUAAAGGCAAAGGAUAACUUCAGGAAACGUGUUUGAUAAGUCAUCAUAUAUUGAAUAUCUGGUGAAGAAAUUACAUUUAAAUUUUGACUAAAUAAUAUUUGUGAACACGCUGGACAAUCCCAGUCCUGGACAUCCUGCAGAUUUCCAUUUUAAAUCAAACAAACUGAAAAAAUCAAGAGAUUUCUUGAAGCUUAACUCCUCCAGGACCGGAAUUUUCUAACAUGCUCAUAAAAAUAUUCUUCUUUAGACCUGCUCUGUAACAUCUUGCACACUGACCUUACUUUCUUUUUCCAUCCUAGUUGAAAAUCCCAGAGUUGCAGGAUCACUGUUUUGAGGAUGUACAAGCUCCCAGCUUCUCAUCUCAUUCCUUGAACUUCAUUGGCCCUCUGCUUUACGGUGUCAUCACAUUCACAUUAGCAUUUAUUCUCAUUGCUCAGAACACUUCUUAACUGAUAAACUAUGAUGCUGUUGCAACCCCGCUGCAUGGUAUCAAUGUUUUGCAAUCUUGGUUAUGUAUACAAGAUUAGCCACCAUGUUUUCGACCAUAAGUGCUACAUUUGCAGAUAUUUGACACAAAUGAGAUAUUUGGGAAGACGACUACAUUCCAAAAGAGAUCCUGUUUCCU